AUCUCUUAAGCAAGAAAAUGGGAAAUCGGUUUUAGGGUUGAAGGGAGGAGUAGAGUGUAGUUCUCUCCAUAGCAAGUUUUCUUCAUUUUCGCAGCCUAAAGAAUCCAUGAUUUAAAUACUUCUUUAAGAUUAUGAGCUUGUGGGAGAUCUGAUUGGCCAUUGAGAUGGAAAAGAAUAAAUGGUUACAGAAAAAGAGAGGAGUCCGAGUGAAAGUGAAAGCUCGGGUUCAAUAUCUUCACACAAAGGUUGGCAGAUUUUGAGAGAGAGUGAGAGACAUCAGAACUCAUAAAAGGCCUAAAAUGAAUUUGUUCUCUAUUGUAACCCAAGAGUCAAAUACCAUUUUAAAUCAAGAUUAGAUCCCAACCCUUGAGUUGAUCCAAAGGCCCAUGGUGGAGAUGGAGAAGGACAAUCCUUAUUUUAGUAAAGUGACCAAUUGGUUGUCUUAAAAUUUAACAAUUUAUACCGAUUUAAUCGUUUAAUAUUUCAUUGGGUAUUGUUUAAGCUUCAAGCAUUGGAUAAGAGUUUAUGGCAUUGGUUAAUGGUUGGCCAAUAUCUUAUAUUGCGAAAUUAUUUUCCCAUUACGUGUUUAUGAAUUUUUGUGAUAUUACUCCAUAUUUGUUAAUU